GAUGAAGAACGCAGCGAAAUGCGGUAAGUAAUGUGAAUUGCAGAAUUCAGUGAAUCAUCGAAUCUUUGAACGCACAUUGCGCCCGCCGGCACUCCGGCGGGCAUGCCUGUCCGAGCGUCAUUUCAACCCUCAGGCCCGAACCCCCCCGGGGGGGGCGGGCCUGGUGUUGGGGCUCGGGGUCCGCGAGGCCCCCGUCCCCUAAAUCCAGUGGCGGUCGCGCCGCACCCUCCCCUGCGUAGUAGCACACCUCGCACCGGAGAGCAGCGCGUCCACGCCGUGAAACCCCCAACUUACCAAGGUUGACCUCGGAUCAGGUAGGAAUACCCGCUGAACUUAAGCAUAUCAAUAAGCGGAGGA
rnacentral:misc_RNA from 1 species